GUCGAAAAAGUUUAAUGUAAUAUGGAGAUUGUGAUUUUCACUUAGAAGUUGACGUAAAACUUGA